GCAAGUGAGCGAGAUAACGGGAGAGAAGAGCCAGGAAUGGGAGCCACUGUCUUUUGGAUCCUAAUCUCAGAAGUGACAGCCUUCUUUGUCAUCUGUCAUAUGCUGUUCAUUAGAAUGAACACUAAGUCCAGUCCACACUCAAGGAGAAGAGAUGACACAAGGGCCUGAGUGUCAGGAGGCGGGAGUCAUCGCAGGCUGCUCACCACUGCUGUCAUUCCAAGCUACCUUAUUUUGGGUUAUCUUAUUUCGAUUCUUUUAGUUUGUUGAAGGUUUUCCUUUUUUCAAGGUUAGGCUAAUAAAGAUCACUUUCGUGCUGAGAAUCAGAAGAGUCCUCAAGGAUAACUACAGCUUUGGGUCUCCAAAUCCUCCCCCAAAUCUCAGGCGUGAUGGUGCGGAGGCUGGUCUCACACCUAAUCUAGGUUGUUCUGGACCCCAUGGAGUUGAUGUGUAGCCAAUCUCAGGCUGGGAUGGAGCAGGAGGCUGAGGAGCUGAGCCAGAGGCAAGCGACACAUCCACCUGUGCAGCAUGGAGUGCUCCGCACAUGGCCGCCUCCCCACUGCGGAGUUUCUCCUCUGGCAAAUGCACCUUCCACCUGGCCAGCUGCUUGGAUCACAGUGAUGAAGGGCCCAACGCAGGCUAACAGACUCCUUCCCUGAGGAGUAUGGAGUUGUACCCAAGAACCUACCAAUAAUCUGACUUCUCCCAGACUUGGAUGUCAUCUGCCACAGAGAUCACGAAACAGAGACAUCUAGUCUAGAGAAAGACACGAUUAUGAAGAAGAUAACUUCUUCCUGGUUUCUCCGCAGCGUUCCACUCGCUGGUCCUAGUUUGUUCUAGAAAUACAGUUGUAUUCCUGACCUUUGGUUCUAUGAGCUCCCACUACCUCUUUGUUAUAACAAAAUUCUCCUCUCUGGUGGCACGCAGGGGUUUCUAUCACCUCCAACCAGAACUGUUA